AUUGAACGCUGGCGGCAGGCCAAACACAUGCAAGUCGAGCGAGCGGCGGACGGGGGAGUAAUGGAUGGGGACUGCCCGAGAGAGGGGGAUAACUACUGGAAAAGGUAGCUAAUACCGCAUACUGACGGAUAACCCAUAUGGGAUUAGCUAGUUGGUGAGGUAAUGGCUCACCAAGGCGACGAUCCCUAGCUGGUAUGAGAGGAUGAUCAGCUACACUGUGACUGAGACACGGCCCGGACUCCUACGGAGGCAGCAGUGGGGAAUAUUGCACAAUGGGCGCAAGCCUGAUGCAGCCAUGCCGCGUGUAUGAAGAAGGCCCUCGGGUUGUAAAGUACUUUCAGUCGGAAGGCGUUACCGGCAGAAGAAGCACCGGCUAACUCCGUGCCAGCAGCCGCGGUAAUAC
rnacentral:rRNA from 1 species